GGUGUUUGACUGCGGUCUCUCGUGCUCGAACGAAUACCUGCACUCAGCUGAUAAUGAUAUAGCUUAUCGAGAAGAGUGUGUGCGAGAUUGCGUAGUUUCGGUGUUUGACUGCGGUCUCUCGUGCCCGAACGAAUCGCCGUACGAACGAUGCGACAUGACGAAAGUCUCAAAGGAACUGAGUGCAGCAAGAGAGAGGCUUCUUAGCUAAAUGCAGUUUUGCUCUCUAUGCUACAGUUCUCACCGGAGGCAAAUGAAUAUAUGUUUGAACCAUAGUCAGUUAAUUCGGAUUCGGCAAAAAUUCGGUACGGGUAUAAUUCGGAUAAAAUUCGUCUUCUAAUUUUUAAAUUCGUUGAAAAAAACGGUUAAAAAACGGAUUCGCCAAUUAUUCGGAUACGUGAUUUAUACGGAUAUUAUACGUUCACUAAUUAAAAAUUCGGGAUAAAAAAUUCGGCUAUUAAAUUAAAUUUUUUUCCUCUCAAGAUUUAUGCUAUUAGCAUAAAUACUCAUAUUUUUUAAAAAUAUAAGAAUAAAAAGCUACAAAAUUAAACUAAUUAAGUAAAAAAAAAUAGUAAAGUAUAUUAUACCUCAAAAUAAAGAAAUAAUUAAGCAAAUAAGAGGCCAAGAUAGUCCAUAUUUAAAUGUAAAAGCUUCCAACUUUUGCUUUGAAGAAUGAAAACUCAAUUAGUACCUGGUCCCAAAGUUAUGCUUUAAAAAUUAAGUAGAAACCCCAGUGAGUCAAUGGUCCAUGAAAGACCACAACAAAAUUUUCCUUUUGCAAGUGUCGACAAAGAUCAUGAAAUUGAUUAGGUAUAAUACAAGAGUUCCUGGUCCCAAAGUUAAUUAAGAUUAUUUAUUUAGCACUAUGUUUGGGUCUUCUUUGUGCAUAACAGAGAAUGGACACAUUCAAUUAAGCACUCAGCCACUUGUGUAUAAAACAAUCCAUCAGAUGACUAAAAGCUUCCAACUUUUUCUUUGAAGAAUGAAAAAAACUCAAAUCGUACCUAACCGAGUUUGUAAAGAACCACCCGAUUACUGAUCUAUCGUUGGAUAGCGGAAGGGGGAGAGGAAGAGGAAGCGGAAGCGGAAGAGGAAGAGGCGACGAGGAGGGUUUCGAUUUCUGAAGAGUGAAGAACCCGAUCUUCGAUCUUCGAUUUCUGAAGAGGAGGGCUUCCGAUGGCGUUCGGCGAGCGGCCGGAAGGGAAGAGGGAGACCGCCGCAGGGGUCGAUGGCAGGGCCGCACCGCCGCAGGAGUGAGAAGUUAGGGCAAACCCUUUUUUCGGGAGGGGUGGGGGUGGGAGCGUGGAG
rnacentral:lncRNA from 1 species